UACAGAGGUCUCAAGCGUUGUUCGGAUUCAUUGGGCGUAAAGGGUGUGUAGGUGGCGCCGUAAGUCGGGUGUGAAAUUUCGGAGCUUAACUCCGAAACUGCAUUCGAUACUGCGGUGCUUGAGGACUGGAGAGGAGACUGGAAUUCAUGGUGUAGCAGUGAAAUGCGUAGAGAUCAUGAGGAAGACCAGUGGCGAAGGCGGGUCUCUGGACAGUUCCUGACACUGAGA
rnacentral:rRNA from 1 species